rnacentral:misc_RNA from 1 species
UUUCCGUAGGUGAACCUGCGGAAGGAUCAUUAGUGAAUUUUAGGGCGUCUACUUGUAGAGCCUGACCUCCACUUUCUAGCUCUGUGCACUUAUUUGGCGGAAAAAGGGAAUAGUGAUUGUUUAACGACGAUUACGAAUUCCUUAUUUCUGCGGCUUACUUUAAACGCUAGUCAAAGUAUGUAACGAAAUAUCGAAAUACAAAAAAACUUUCAACAACGGAUCUCUUGGCUCUC